GAAUUUCAGGCUGAAAGAUGUCUAAAUUCCACACCAUGUUUUAAGCUGAAGACGCAAGUCGGAUGCGAACACAUUUUAUUCACCGAAUAAAUUAAAACUUUCAACAACGGAUCUCUUGGUUCU
rnacentral:misc_RNA from 1 species